ACUCCAAGGGUCCCAAUGUGGGGCCCAGAGUCAGGGCUGGGGUCAGGGGCUGAGCUGUUCCCAUCCCCAUCUGCCCUUGUUCCCGCAGGGCUCCGGGCGGCCGUGACCCUGCUGGAGUGCGGGGGGGACCUCCAGCCCCCCGGGGGGUCCCUGCGCCUCCUCUGCCGAGGGUCUGGGUUCAGCAUUGGCAGUUUCACCCUGCUCUGGAUCCGCCAGAGACCCGGGCAGGGGCUGGAGUGGCUCGCAGGGAUCUGGAGCGAUGGUGGCACCUACUACCCGCCAUCGCUCCAGGGCCGGGUCAGGAUCUCCAGGGACAACGGGCAGAGCUCGGUGACGCUGACCAUGACCGACCUCCGGGACGAGGAUUCCGGAUCCUAUUUCUGUGCCAAAUGUGUUGAUGGUGGUUGCUAUGAUGGUUAUGCUGAUGCUGGACUUUUUGAUCCCACCCCCAUCCCCGACUCUCACCCGCCCAGCCCAAACCACAACUCCUGA